GUAGAUAUAUGGAGGAACACCAGUGGCGAAGGCGGCUCUCUGGUCUGUAACUGACGCUGAGGCUCGAAAGCGUGGGGAGCGAACAGGAUUAGAUACCCUGGUAGUCCACGCCGUAAACGAUGAGUGCUAAGUGUUGGAGGGUUUCCGCCCUUCAGUGCUGCAGCAAACGCAUUAAGCACUCCGCCUGGGGAGUACGACCGCAAGGUUGAAACUCAAAGGAAUUGACGGGGGCCCGCACAAGCGGUGGAGCAUGUGGUUUAAUUCGAAGCAACGCGAAGAACCUUACCAGGUCUUGACAUCCUUUGACCACUCUAGAGAUAGAGCUUCCCCUUCGGGGGCAAAGUGACAGGUGGUGCAUGGUUGUCGUCAGCUCGUGUCGUGAGAUGUUGGGUUAAGUCCCGCAACGAGCGCAACCCUUAUUGUUAGUUGCCAUCAUUUAGUUGGGCACUCUAGCGAGACUGCCGGUGACAAACCGGAGGAAGGUGGGGAUGACGUCAAAUCAUCAUGCCCCUUAUGACCUGGGCUACACACGUGCUACAAUGGGAAGUACAACGAGUUGCGAAGUCGCGAGGCUAAGCUAAUCUCUUAAAGCUUCUCUCAGUUCGGAUUGUAGGCUGCAACUCGCCUACAUGAAGCCGGAAUCGCUAGUAAUCGCGGGUCAGCACGCCGCGGUGAAUACGUUCCCGGGCCUUGUACACAC
rnacentral:rRNA from 1 species